GCCAGUAAUUGUUAUUGUGCUUGUCCAAAUACAUCAUUGUCAUUGUGUGCCUGGAUCUAGAAAUUUUCCUCGGGGAAGUGGGUUCCACCCCAUGUAAUAUUUUUAGGGGCCAAUCAAAGUGAUGGCCUAUCAUUUAGCACUGAACAACUGAAAGUGCUUGAAAAAGUUAGAUAUUAAUUUACUACCCUACUCAGCUGGUGUUGGUUCAGACCCUCAAUCCAACAACAACAACACCACCCCCUUUUAUAACUGCUCUUAACAUGUAGCCCCUACCAACAGAAUUAGAUAUCAAAUUUAAAAGAAAAUGUGGGGGAUGUAAUAAGAAUUGCACAGUAGGAUAUAAUGAAAAUAUGUAAAUAUAAAUGAUAUCUCUGUUUAUGUACUACAUAGUCCAUGUAGAACAAGAGUGAAUGUAAUAUUGAAAUAUAAACUUUCUCUUCCAGAUAUGUUCAAAGCCAGCACUCAGUUAAAUAUACUUCUACUCCUGUGCACAGCCAGGCAGACCCGAAGCCUUUUACGGGAAAAUACAUUAUCUCUAAUAUUUCUGCAGAAUCCAGACAAGCAACCAGUGAUCAAGGAGUGUCAGGUGUUGAAGAGUUCGAGCCAGGCAUGGAACUGACACUAUCUGGAUAGCAAAAAAUAUGAAUCAAAACGAGAAAUGUGUGUGCGUGCUGUGCAUGUGUAAAUAAUUGCAUGUACAUGUACAUGCAAUUAAAGCAUUUAUUUUACAGUAAUAUUAUGAUAUUCUGGUAUUCAAUUUUAUAAUUAAAAAAGAUUUUUAAGAUACCUUUCCAAAGCAAUUUAUAUUUUUAAUUGAUUUCCCUUAUAGAUGAUGUAAAUCUAAUGAAAAUGAUACAAAAAAAAAACUUUUUCUGUACAGUAAGAAAACCAAAGUGUGCAUCAUCCUUUCUGAAUCCAUUUGAAUUGAGUAUUGACAUAUCAGAGGAAUCUGGCACUUUAAAAGGAGAUGAUGAUGAAACAUACUAUCCAAGUUUCAACUUCCACUCAAUUAGAAGAGGAUAAGAAAUCCAGAUUUGAAAAUUGACUCUUAUUCAGAGUGACAUGAACAUAUUUCAAAACUAUAUGACAGUGUCUAUACAAUUUUAAAUUUGCUGUAGGUAGACUGUAGUAAUAUUUUUCUGCUACCAAAGUUUUAAACACAUCAUUGACAUUACUUUAUAGACUGGGUAUAUUUCUUGUAAUUCAAUACAUAGUUUUCAUAUAACAGUAGAAGACAUCAAAGCAUCGAAUUGCCAUGUGUUGAAAAUACAUGUUUUCUCCAAGUAGAAUAUCUAUUGAUCUUAUUACUUAUAAUCUGACAAAUGAUUUUAGGGGCGAGAUCAAAUAUCCAAUGUUUGACACAUAAAUAACAUCUUUAGUGCUAUUGAUACAAAAUUGAAACUAAAUGGAUAGAGCAAGU